rnacentral:rRNA from 1 species
GAUGAACGCUGGCUGCGUGCCUAAUACAUGCAAGUCGAGCGAACGGACGAGAAGCUUGCUUCUCUGAUGUUAGCGGCGGACGGGUGAGUAACACGUGGAUAACCUACCUAUAAGACUGGGAUAACUUCGGGAAACCGGAGCUAAUACCGGAUAAUAUUUUGAACCGCAUGGUUCAAAAGUGAAAGACGGUCUUGCUGUCACUUAUAGAUGGAUCCGCGCUGCAUUAGCUAGUUGGUAAGGUAACGGCUUACCAAGGCAACGAUGCAUAGCCGACCUGAGAGGGUGAUCGGCCACACUGGAACUGAGACACGGUCCAGACUCCUACGGGAGGCAGCAGUAGGGAAUCUUCCGCAAUGGGCGAAAGCCUGACGGGGCAACGCCGCGUGAGUGAUGAAGGUCUUCGGAUCGUAAAACUCUGUUAUUAGGGAAGAACAUAUGUGUAAGUAACUGUGCACAUCUUGACGGUACCUAAUCAGAAAGCCACGGCUAACUACGUG